GAGGGUGUACCUCAGUGGUAGAGUGCGUGCCUGGCAUGCAUGAGAUCCUGGGUUCAAUCUCCAAUACCUCCA
rnacentral:tRNA from 1 species